rnacentral:rRNA from 1 species
UACGGCUAGAUCACGUUGAACUACCGCUUACCGUACGAUCACCGAAGCUAAGCAACGGCGAGCUUGGUCUAGUACCUAGAUGGGUGACCGUUUAGGAAUACCACGUGCUGU